AUUCAGGACAUUCUGCAGCUGCAGUUUGGAGUAAAAUUGUGCUUCUGGGACAGGUGGUCCAAGCUACGUUUGCAGAAAUGCUUAUCUAUCGUUCUCUUCAUUUUAAACUCCGAGGAAGCAAGAAACAUGGCCGCUAUAAAGACAGAUUUCAACAGGCCUUCUAAAUCCCCGGGACCUCUCCAAGGGCAAGGCAGCUAAUCAGCGCCUGAGAUGACAGAUAGGAUGUCGCGAUGAAGGCCCUGGAUUUUACAGUGACUGCAUAAUGUGUGAUGUUGGCCUUCUCUCUGUGUGUCCAAAUCCAACUCUAUCUCAAUGCACAGUUAGGUCCUAUUUUCUCUGAGAAGCCUGGCCUGAUGGAUUUCACAGCUCAUAGGACUAGUAAAAUGCUUUCACUAACUGCGUCCCAGCUUCUUUGUAAAAAAUUACUCUUGUUAUUAUUAUUUGUAGUAUUAGAGAUUUAACCCACACAUGUGCAGUAGGCAAGCAGUAUGUCAUGUCUAGUGUUUGUCUAAUGUACUUUGGCACUUGAGCUAGCCAGCCUGUUGGAGUAUACUGUGUGAACAUGCAUCUUGGUAUAUUCAACUAUUCAUUCUGUACUGGCAGAGAGCUAAUGGCCCAUCCCUGGUCUUACAUUUUAUAAAUCAUUGUCACAUGUCUAAAGCAAACUAGAAAUUGUAUCUUAUUGGCUUUAAUAGAGACCUGACAGCCAAUAGCUGAGUAGGAGAUGGAAGCCAGAACUCUGGGCAGAGGUAAGGACUCUGAGAGAAGAACUGAGAAGCAGAAGAUUCUCCAGUGAACACAGAAGUGGGCAGAUGGACUAGAACUAAGCAAAAGAAGACUUGACCACAUGGCUGGAUGUGGUGCCAGGAUGAAUUGGAUUAGAGUAGUUGGGAAACAACCAGGCAAAAGGCCGAAAGUUUAAAAUAUUAAUAAACCUCUGUGUCAUUAUUUAUAUCACUGACAGUUCCAAGAUAGUCCUGCUAUACCAGCUUUUGUAGGCAGUUUGUUGAAAAAAGUAGUAGAUGUAAACUACACCCUCCAUCAUUAACCAAAUCAACAAAGAAUAAUGCCAGUUCAUGUCAUGGUCUCCAGGAAGGAAUAAACACGGCUCCCUGCCCAAAGUUCAAAUUAUUAUUUGAAUUUUUCCCUGAACCUUGUUUUCCUUGGAGAAGGAGAAUCUUUCUAGGAGUAGCACAUGAAACAUGUAAAGAACAGCCUUGGGCACCUGCCUUUCAGGAUUGCUUUCUGCUUUAAGAAAGUCAAGAGAGGAAUCCCAAUACACAUUGGGACUGUCUUUGCCUGUUCUGUAUUUUGAAGAAGCCCCAGAAAUGUCCUUGCUGAUUGUCUUCUUGAAUCAAACAGGCCUUGACCCAAUAAGGUCCUGGAGCCCUAAUGUCCCACUUAUGAUCCUGUAGCCCUAAGUGAAAAAGAAACCAUCGCCAAGAGAGAGCUUUGCCAAACGAUGACCAAAUAUGGUGAUCACCUAAUCUCUUGUCCCUAAUCAAAAUAUUCCUGCCUAGAUCUCUUCUGAGAUUUUCCAUAGCCAGAGCAGACCAGAGUCUACUGCUGGCAUUCAUUGCUGCAGAAAAGCACUUCUUUCAGUCUCCUUGGCAAUUUUAUAGAUGCUGAAGAGGGUUGAGUAAUAAAAAACAAAUAUUCCCCAUGCCUCAGAUGUCCAAGUUGUCCUUCGGGUUGAUGGCGAUCAUUUAUAACAUUGCCUGUUUACUCUACAUGUGCACAUAAUUUACAUGAUCUGACUGCAGAGUACCUCACAAUUUCUACAUUUUCAGAUGAGCUUGAAGAACUCGUGAAAUUUUGGAUAGGCUACCAGCAUAUGCUAUAGAGUAUUUUGUCCCUAAUGUCUGCAUGAAUAUAGUUUACCUACUGAAAUAGGUGCUAAAUAUAGAUCUGCACACAGAUUUUCUUAUGAGCAAAGCACUUAGCUAAAAAGAAGAAAUCUGUGUGAAUGAGGAAAGGCCUAAAUUGACAUCUAGCCAGGCACAGUCAUCCUUUCUCAGGUAGCCAAGUCAGGCCUGCCUCUAGCUAAAUGUUUCCCUGGAGAGAACUUACCUUCUAAUGGGAUAGGAAGAUAUCAGUCAGAAUCUAGGACUGAAAACACAAAGAUAAAAAUGAAUCUUGAAUAAAUUUAGAUGAGCCGUUGUCAUUCGGCUGUUAGGUACAGGUUGCAUUAAUAUGGCAACGGCUGGAGUUGAACAAUAAACUAUUCACUGUAUGACG
rnacentral:lncRNA from 1 species